rnacentral:miRNA from 1 species
GGAUGCCUGGUUAAACGUGCAUUUCAGAUGAACAGUAAAUAAUUGCUUAAUAUAAGUCUAUCCCAGCAUUAUUUGGGACAUACUUAGACUAAACAAUUACUCAUCAUUUAUCUGAAAUUCAAAUUGAACUGGGUAUUCUGU